rnacentral:rRNA from 1 species
UGGGGAAUAUUGGGCAAUGGAGGAAACUCUUACCCAGCAAUGCCGCGUGAAGGAUGAAGGUCUUCGGAUUGUAAACUUCUUUGAUUGGGGACAAAUAAAUGAUGGUACCCAAGGAACAAGCCCCGGCUAACUAUGUGCCAGCAGCCGCGGUAAUACAUAGGGGGCAAGCGUUGUCCGGAAUGACUGGGCGUAAAGGGUGUGUAGGCGGUUUGGCAAGUUGGAAGUGUAAUACCUAGGGCUCAACCCAGGUGCUGCUUCCAAAACUACCUUACUUGAGUGUCGGAGAGGAAAAUGGAAUUCCUAGUGUAGCGGUGGAAUGCGUAGAUAUUAGGAGGAACACCAGAGGCGAAGGCGAUUUUCUGGACGACAACUGACGCUGAGGCACGAAAGUGUGGGGAGCAAACA